GACGAACGCUGGCGGCGUGCUUAACACAUGCAAGUCGAACGGAAAGGCCCUGCUUUUGUGGGGUGCUCGAGUGGCGAACGGGUGAGUAACACGUGAGUAACCUGCCCUUGACUUUGGGAUAACUUCAGGAAACUGGGGCUAAUACCGGAUAGGAGCUCCUGCUGCAUGGUGGGGGUUGGAAAGUUUCGGCGGUUGGGGAUGGACUCGCGGCUUAUCAGCUUGUUGGUGGGGUAGUGGCUUACCAAGGCUUUGACGGGUAGCCGGCCUGAGAGGGUGACCGGCCACAUUGGGACUGAGAUACGGCCCCGACCCCUACGGGAGGCAGCAGUGGGGAAUAUUGCACAAUGGGCGGAAGCCUGAUGCAGCAACGCCGCGUGCGGGAUGACGGCCUUCGGGUUGGAAACCGCUUUCGCCUGUGACGAAGCGUGAGUGACGGUAAUGGGUAAAGAAGCACCGGCUAACUACGUG
rnacentral:rRNA from 1 species